UGCAUAUCAAAAAGCGGAGGAAAAGAAACCAACAGGGAUUGCCCCAGUAACGGCGAGUGAAGCGGCAACAGCUCAAAUUUGAAAUCUGGCCCUUACGGGUCCGAGUUGUAAUUUGUAGAGGAUGCUUUUGGCAAGGCGCCGCCCGAGUUCCCUGGAACGGGACGCCACAGAGGGUGAGAGCCCCGUCUGGCUGGCCGCCGAGCCUCUGUAAAGCUCCUUCGACGAGUCGAGUAGUUUGGGAAUGCUGCUCAAAAUGGGAGGUAUAUGUCUUCUAAAGCUAAAUAUUGGCCAGAGACCGAUAGCGCACAAGUAGAGUGAUCGAAAGAUGAAAAGCACCUUGAAAAGAGGGUUAAAUAGUACGUGAAAUUGUUGAAAGGGAAGCGCUUGUGACCAGACUUGGGCGCGGCGGAUCAUCCGGGGUUCUCCCCGGUGCACUUCGCCGCGUCCAGGCCAGCAUCAGUUCGUCGCGGGGGAAAAAGGCUUCGGGAACGUGGCUCCCUCGGGAGUGUUAUAGCCCGUUGCGUAAUACCCUGCGGUGGACUGAGGACCGCGCAUCUGCAAGGAUGCUGGCGUAAUGGUCACCAGCGACCCGUCUUGAACCCCCGGACCA
rnacentral:rRNA from 1 species